rnacentral:rRNA from 1 species
GAUGAACGCUGGCGGCGUGCUUAACACAUGCAAGUCGAACGAUGAAGCCCAGCUUGCUGGGUGGAUUAGUGGCGAACGGGUGAGUAACACGUGAGUAACCUGCCCUUAACUCUGGGAUAAGCCUGGGAAACUGGGUCUAAUACCGGAUAGGAGCGUCCACCGCAUGGUGGGUGUUGGAAAGAUUUAUCGGUUUUGGAUGGACUCGCGGCCUAUCAGCUUGUUGGUGAGUUAAUGGCUCACCAAGGCGACGACGGGUAGCCGGCCUGAGAGGGUGACCGGCCACCGGGGGAAUGGGAGACGGCCGAAGCUCCUAGGGGGGGGAGGGGGGGAGAAUAAUGCAAAAGGGGGGAAAGCCUGAGGAAGGGCCCCCGGGUGGGGGAGGGCGGCUUUGGGGUUGAAAACCUUUUUCAGGAGGGAAGAAGGGAAAGAGGGGGUACCUGCAGAAAAAGACCCGGCAAACAACG